rnacentral:tRNA from 1 species
GUCCGUUGCUCAAUGGUUAGAGCAUUCGACUUCUGAUCAACAGGUCCCGUGUUCGAACCUCGGGUGGGCA